rnacentral:rRNA from 1 species
GACGAACGCUGGCGGCGUGCUUAACACAUGCAAGUCGAACGGGUCUGCCCUGUUUUUUGCGGGGUGGGUCAGUGGCGAACGGGUGAGUAACACGUGAGUAACCUGCCCCUCACUUCUGGAUAACCGCUUGAAAGGGGGGCUAAUACGGGGUGUUCUGGCUGUGCCGCAUGGUUUGGCUGGGAAAGAUUCACUUUUGUGGUGUUUUGGUGGGGGAUGGGCUCGCGGCCGAUCAGCUUGUUGGUGGGGUGAUGGCCUGCCAAGGCUUGGACGGGUAGCCGGCCUGAGAGGGUGGGCGGUCACACUGGGACUGAGAUACGGCCCAGACUCCUGCGGGAGGCAGCAGUGGGGGGUAUUGCACAAUGGGCGGAAGCCUGAUGCAGCGACGUCGCGUGAGGGAUGGAGGCCUUCGGGUUGUGAACCUCUUUCGCCGGUGAAGAAGGUCCUGCUCUUUGUGGUGGGGUUGACGGUAGCCGGGUUAUGAAGCGCCGGCUAACUACGUG